rnacentral:rRNA from 1 species
AAUAUUGGACAAUGGGGGCAACCCUGAUCCAGCCAUGCCGCGUGUGUGAAGAAGGUCUUCGGAUUGUAACGCACUUUAAGUUGGGAGGAAGGGCUUUAGGUUAAUCCCCUGAAGUUUUGCCGUAACAAACAGAAUAAGCACCGGCUAACACUGUGCCACCAGUCGCGGUAAAACAGUGGGUGCAAGAGUUAAUCGGAAUUACUGGGCGUAAAGCGCGCGUAGAUGGUGCAGUAAGAGGGGUGUGAAAACCGCGGGCUUAACCUGGGAGCUGCUUUCAUAACUGCUGAGCUAGAGUACGGUAGAGGGUAGUGGAAUUUCCUGUGUGGCGGUGAAAUGCGUAGAUAUAGGAGGAAGCACCAGUGGCGAAGGCGACUACCUGGACUGAUACUGACACUGAGGUGCGAAAGCGUGGGGAGCAAAC